rnacentral:rRNA from 1 species
CAGUCGCCGCGGGAAAACGAAGGGGGCUAGCGUUGCUCGGAAUGACUGGGCGUAAAGGGCGCGUAGGCGGCGGCCAAAGUCAGGCGUGAAAUUCCCGGGCUCAACCUGGGGGCUGCGUUUGAUACUUGGUUGCUUGAGUGGGGAAGAGGGUCGUGGAAUUCCCAGUGUAGAGGUGAAAUUCGUAGAUAUUGGGAAGAACACCGGUGGCGAAGGCGGCGACCUGGUCCUUUACUGACGCUGAGGCGCGAAAGCGUGGGGAGCAAACAGGAUUAGAUACCCCCGUAGUCCCUGUCUCUUAUAC